ensembl:lncRNA
CAACCAUGGGAUCACAAGAGUUUUCAAUCAGACUUUUAAUCAUAUUAGAUACAAAUAUCCUAAUAUUCCAAUCAUUAAGAACAGGGGUGUGUGAAUGUUAAUUUUUGUGUUUGUAGGCCUUCCUCUGGACACUGACAGCCUGACAAAGUCCACAGCUUGCACAAGAUUUCUACGGCUCUCUCCUACAUAUUACCCGCAGGAAAAGAGGCAGUUUCACAGCCACAGCUGAGUUCAGCUGAACUUUCCUCUUCAUAAUCCUAUUCCUGUUUCCAAACACCACUUCUGCAAUUAACUCCCCAUCAGCUUCCUUCCUUCUCAAACUGCACAUCUAAUGAAGCACAGUAUUAAGAGAGGUUCGUUUCUGAAUGUGGGAAGAAGCAAAGAAAAACCAGGAGCUUCACUUGAAAAAUGGAGGCUUGUUGUCAGAGAUCUCCUGUACAGCUGGUAGGGGAACAUAUUUAUGUCCUCUGGAUACAACGAGCCUGCAGGAGAGAACCAGUGGCUGUUCCUUUGCAGAGAGAUCCAUCUGCUCAUGGGGGCAGACAGGCUGGGGAAGGGCAGCCUCCUCAUACAGCCCUCUGAACAUGCAUGUGGGCACACACACAUUCACACACAGGCUUUGCCUUUCCCUGCGUCCUGAAGAUUCAGCUGAUGCUUUCAGGAGUUUAUGUAACACCAUCAUUGCUGGUUAACGCAUUGGAAAUGCUGAGCGGCAAUUAAAU